rnacentral:rRNA from 1 species
GUGUCAGCAGCCGCGGUAAUACAGAGGUCCCAAGCGUUGUUCGGAUUUACUGGGCGUAAAGGGUGCGUAGGCGGUCGGGUAAGUCUGAUGUGAAAUCUCGCAGCUCAACUGCGAAACUGCAUUGGAUACUAUUCGGCUUGAGGUCUGGAGGGGGGACUGGAAUUCUCGGUGUAGCAGUGAAAUGCGUAGAUAUCGAGAGGAACACCAGUGGCGAAGGCGAGUCCCUGGACAGAUCCUGACGCUGAGGCACGAAAGCUAGGGGAGCAAACAGGAUUAGAAACCCUGGUAGUCC